AUUGAACGCUGGCGGCAGGCCUAACACAUGCAAGUCGAACGAGUGGCGGACGGGUGAGUAAUGUCUGGGAAACUGCCUGAUGGAGGGGGAUAACUACUGGAAACGGUAGCUAAUACCGCAUACCAUCAGAUUUGCCCAGAUGGGAUUCGCUUGUUGGUGGGGUAAAGGCUCACCAAGGCGACGGGCCCUAGCUGGUCUGAGAGGAGGACCAGGCACCUUGGAACUGAGACACGGGCCAGACCCCUACGGGAUGCAGCAGGGGGGAAUAUUGGACAAUGGGCUCAAGCCGGAUGCAGCAAUGCCGCGUGUAUGAAGAAGGCCUUCGGGUUGUAAAGUACUGUCCUCGUGGAGGCGUUACCCGCAGAAGAAGCACCGGCUAACUCCGUGCCAGCAGCCGCGGUAAUAC
rnacentral:rRNA from 1 species